rnacentral:lncRNA from 1 species
UGCACCCGUAGAUGGUUUUACCGUGAGCACAUCAACUAUUUACUGUGGUCUUUAUAGUUGGUAAUAAACAAGUAUUUAUCCUGGCAGGAUCCUGGCAGGAUCGCCAUAUGCGGGUUCUCCACCCUCGGGAACAUCUUAGGGUAGUUUGGGGUAGUUACCCCCUACCAAUAGGGGUUGAUGAAUUAAACACUAUUGAUAAUUACUUGUUUUAUUACCAACUAUAAAGACCACAGUAAAUAGUUGAUGUGCUCACAGUAAAACCAUCUACGGGUGCAUCUGAAUUAAGAAUGAUAAUUGCAUUAAUUAGAAUGAAUCACGAUGCCUUGCUGCCUCGCUGUAUGUAUAAACAAACUUGUAACAUGUAGUAUGUUUAUAUUGUCGAUUGAACUUUGGCCCUGACUUACGAAAAUAUUGAUUAGCUGACGACGCAUUAUUGCCGACUGGUGUUUCUAACAAUUUAGGUGACCUACUUAACUGUAAACAAAUGUGUAUGUUUUGGUUUUGUUUCUAGGACAUUUAAGAAUUAAAUGAAUAUAUCUUGAUCUUAAUUUUGGAUGUUGAUAAACCCUUACACUGAUAAUAGAAUUUUUAUUCCGAAAACGUUUUGUUAAUGUGAUGUUACCCUUAUUAGGGUCUUUUAAAUAUACCUUUUACAAAGGAUCCAGUAUUUUUUGUGAUUUAUGUUAUACAGUCAGCUACAGAGAUUUUACUUUCCUCGUGGAUUAAAAAAAACAGGUUUUGAACGGUUUUCUGAAAAUAACUCAAAAAAAUGGUCAUGGAGAAACCAGUAUGGACUGGAAAAAUAAGCGCAAAUAAAAUCCAACCCAACGCCACCGUAAAUAGUUUCACUGUUAACUGGCACGUUGAUGAUGUAGAUGGUAGAUGUUUUCAUUAGUGGAUUGGGACUCAUUGGAGAUGCUACAGCUCCAGCCAUUCAAACUGCCCUCAACACUGGACUCAUCGGAAAUAUCGGAGAAAUA